ensembl:lncRNA
UAUAUUGGAUAUAUGUAUCAUAUUUAUUCUUUCUGGUUUUAAAUCUUACAGGGAAGGUGUGUUUCUGUGACAACGGGGGAAAUUGCUCCGUAACUGCUCUGCCUAUCUGAGAAGAAAACAAAACAAACAAAAACAGAACAUCCAGAAAGUAGUUUGGUGUGGGAACACCUUGAGCUGUGUGGUGUGUCUGCCGCUAAGAGGUCACUGCAGAGUUCCUACAUGGUUGGUUAAUGGAAGCCCUGUGAGACUGUUAUGCAGGCUGAGUGCAGGUGGUAACCUGAAGUCAGCAGGGCUAAAGCUGAUAUGUGCUCACAUCCUUUCCUGGCCUGAGGUCUACGGAUGGAGUCUGACAUCCCUAUUGGCAUUCUAACAACGCCUUUCUGACAAAGGCUGC